AACAAUUUCAGCAAGUGUGAAGAUUGCCUUUUUCUUCAAAUUACUAGUAUUUCAUUAAAUGAAAUGAAUUUAAUGAAAUACUAGUAUUUCAUUAAAUACUAGUAAUCAUUCCUAGUUUUAAUUAGUUCACAGCAUGAGAAGUGCAAGGAGGAGGAAGACAGCUAGUUACUACAAAGUGGUUGCCUAUCAAUAGCUUUUAACAGAGCAUACCUUGCAAAACACCUGUGCUCACUCAGGUCAACACAAAGACAUUAAUUAACAUCAGAUGAUGAUGUAACAUUUCAUUGGUUUCGACUCUAAGAAAACACUUUCCAAACUUAGGACGUUUGGCUGUAUUUUCAAUGUAAUGAGCAUCAGAAGUUUGGAUUUUUCACUUUAUAUGUAUUGUUCUCAUUGCUAGCAAUCUGAUUUAUAUAUAUAUGAGACUGUUGAGUUUCUUUUGCAUUUAGCAAGUGUUGGAUUUUUCUAAUGUAUGCAGUCAAAAACAUUUUCCUUUCAAAAUGUGAUGAUACUACAAGUGAGGAGAAAAUAAUUGUACAGUGGGAUUGGGAAGAAUCCUGUUGUAAAACAUCUUAUCAGCUUUCAGGAGACAAUUUAGUAAAGGCUGCUGUGAUGCAAAACUGGAUCCCUAGCAUCAUAAGGCGGUUCUCUGGACUAUCACUAAAAGUAAAAUUAGAAAAUUACAAAAAGUAGAAGAAAAAUACCCAACUGCUUCUAAAUUCAAGGACGAUCUACUUGAACUUCUUGUUCCAGGAGUUUCAGCAAGAAACAUGACAGAAAUAAAGAGAUCACAGACCAAGAAAAACCUAGAGAAUACAAGGUUACUGGAAAUGUCAGCAGAGACCUGAUUCCUAUGAGCUCUUCAGCUCAUUAAGUUUGAGAGGAUAAAUAUGAACACCCUCAAGAAAAUUUCACAGCAAAGACUAGCCUUCAUGUACAGGCUCUUAAGAAUCCACUUUCCACUGAUAUUUUCUUGGAACUGAGAGAAGAUAUGGACUUGCCUUCAUCCACGCAGCAUGCUUGAUUUUACUGCCUUUAAGGCUGUGUUGCAACCAAGUUUGCUACAGGAAUGUUAGGGACACUUUCCUACCACUCCCUUCUCUUUUCUCUCUCUCCAGACCCUCUUGCCACUGCCAGAGAUCAUCAUAGUGUGCUCUGUCUGGCACAGACAGGUGAUCUGCUACUGCCAAGGGGGAUGCAAGCAGAAGCCACUGCUGCCAAAUGCUUGCUCUGUCACUGGCUGGGGGCCUGGGCUGUGGUGGCAACCCCUUCCUCACUGCUCAGCUUUUCCUCCACAGUGUCCUGUGGGGAACCAGGAGCAUCCUGUGGGCCCUGGUCCAGCCCCUGUGUCUCCAGAUGGACAGUGCUGUGCCAGCCUAGUAAGCCAUUCAGUGCCAAGAAGAGAUGACUUCCUGCUGUGGGGCUAUAGCUGUAGCGUUUUGUAGGAGUCUGUUGCAUUAAGAUGUCAAACUGUAACAUUCUAUGUAUGAGUUGUAUUCUCCUAGUGUAAUGAAGGUUGAACCAUCACUUUGGAUAGCGUUGAGGGCAAUUCUGAAUCAGACAGAGCUACCAGAGCUACUUUAUUACAAAGCUUUUCUUGCUUGAUGUACAAAACUCCAGCUAUGAGAAAAGCUGCCUAGCUCUUUAUUAUUCAUGUAUUGAUAGUAAUCAGCAUCUUGGGACUGUUUUAAGCAAUAGUUUUCUGAUUAGACAGGUGUAAAUGUGCUUUAUCAAACAUACCUAUAACAAACUUUCUAAAUCAUUCAUUUACAGGUUGUUAAUUGUUCAUUUCUAAAGCAUUCAGAAUUUAUAUUUAGUGUGCUUCUCCACACUGCUAAAAUAUGAUGUUGCAGUUCCUUCAUUUUUCUUCAACAGUGUUUCAUGACACAGUUAUGGUGCAUCAGCGUUAUAUAGCAUUGCUAAUUAAUGAAAAAAAUUAACCAAGUUUUAGACCAAAAGAAAAAUUUUAAUUGUCCCUAAUGGAGAAAGUUAAAACCUCAUGCCAAGGCAAGUUGCCUAAUCAAUAUGUACUUUUCAGAAGCUCACUAUUUUCAGAAUAUACUUUCAGGCAUGUGAUUUUGAUUUUAUGGUGUCUAAUAACACCUGUAAACAGUUUGAGUGGGGGCAGUGUUUUCACUCUAAACGAUGGCAUCUGUGCAUAGAAAUUGAAGAGAAAAAAGCUUCAGUUAUUCAUGUCAUGUAUUAAGUGAUACAAAACAAAUCUGUCCUUGUCUUUUUCUUCUUUUGAAUGUGUAGUUACAUUUUCUUUUUGCUGAAGUCUAUAUAAGAUUGACAGGAAAAGCAGCCUG